UUAUGGUUAAAAAAAUUUAUUAAAAACUUAUUUUACAUAUAAAUUUUAGUAUAAAUUAUAUUUUAUUUUAAUAAUAAAUUAUUUUUAUUAUGUAGUAAUUAAUAUUAAACAAUUUAAGAAAUUAUGAUUUAGUAAUGUUUAAAUUAAUAACAAAUUUUGUGCCAGCAGUUGCGGUUACACAAAAAUUAAAUUAAAUUUUAUUAGUUAUUAAUAAUUAUUUUAUUUUAAUAAUUAAAAUUUUAAAUUAUUAAGUGAAAUUUUAAUUUAUAAAAAUUUUAUUUUAUUAUUUAUGAUUUAAUAAAUUUUAAAAAGAAACUAGGAUUAGAUACCCUAUUAUUGAUAUUUUAAAUUAAAAUACUAAAAUAGUAAAUAAUUAUUUAUUGAAACUUAAAUAAUUUGGCGGUAUUUUAGUUCAUUUAGAGGAAUCUGUUUAUUAAUUGAUAAUCCACGAAUAAAUUUACUUAAUUUAUCAUUUUGUAUAUCGUUGUUAAAAAAAUAUUUUUUAAUAAAAAUAAUAUUUUAAAAUUUUAAUUUAAAUUUAAAUCAGAUCAAGAUGCAGAUUAUAAUUAAGAAUAUAAUGGAUUACAAUAAAUUUAUUUAUAUGAAUAUUAAUUUGUAAUAAUUAAUUGAAGGUGGAUUUAAAUGUAAUUUUAUUUAAUUUAAUAAAAUGAUUAAUAAUUAAAAUAUGUACAUAUUGCCCGUCGCUUUCAUAUAUUAAUAAAAUUAAAUAAAUUGAAAUAAGUCGUAACAAAGUAGAGGUACUGGAAAGUGUUUCUAGAAAGAC
rnacentral:ncRNA from 1 species